rnacentral:tRNA from 1 species
GCGUCUGUCAGUCAGUGGUAGGCUUCGAGCUUCCCAAGCUCGUAACCCGGGUUCGAGUCCCGGCGGACGCA